GACGAACGCUGGCGGCGUGCUUAACACAUGCAAGUCGAACGGAAAGGCCCUGCUUUUGUGGGGUGCUCGAGUGGCGAACGGGUGAGUAACACGUGAGUAACCUGCCCUUGACUUUGGGAUAACUUCAGGAAACUGGGGCUAAUACCGGAUAGGAGCUCCUGCUGCAUGGUGGGGGAUGGAAAGUUUCGGCGGUUGUGGAUGGACUCGCGGCUUAUCAGCUUGUUGGUGGGGUAGUGGCUUACCAAGGCUUUGACGGGUAGCCGGCCUGAGAGGGUGACCGGCCACAUUGGGACUGAGAUACGGCCCAGACUCCUACGGGAGGCAGCAGUGGGGAAUAUUGCACAAUGGGCGGAAGCCUGAUGCAGCAACGCCGCGUGCGGGAUGACGGCCUUCGGGUUGUAAACCGCUUUCGCCUGUGACGAAGCGUGAGUGACGGUAAUGGGUAAAGAAGCACCGGCUAACUACGUG
rnacentral:rRNA from 1 species